rnacentral:lncRNA from 1 species
AGGUCCGGGUUAACACGGCGGCUGCGCUGUCACAUAGCUUCCCCGCCAGAGUGAUGGGAGCACAGUGAGCGCGAGAGCACAAGACUGCGGCCGGAGCCUGUCGCUGCUCGGACGGUUGUCAAGGUGAACAAAUAAAGCGCACUACGUCCGGACAGAUUUCAAAAUAAGGGUCUGUUCUUUUCGUGUGAUCUGGAACUGAACAGCUUUCAGUUUAUGACGGGACGUGUCCUUUACAAACUUAUUUUAAUUCUAGACUGUAUGUCUCGCCAGAACCUUUUACACCUAGAUUUGUGCCAAAAUUAGUCAUAACUGUACAAGUUUGUGGUAUUAUUUUUAGGUACACAGGAUGUUUGUAUUUGUUUUGUCGCGCUUGAACUUUGCUGGGCUGCAGUUCCUAAUUAUCCCCACUGCCGCUGUUGAUGGGCCCCCUGCAAACAGACGCUAUGCUGCCCCCUAGUGGUAGAACGAGGUCAAGAUCAGCGCCUACACAACGAGCAGCAGUUCACGGUUCCUGCUGUCCUAAAGAAGCACAAUAUAUUCUCAAGGACCCACAUCCUGAACACCUGAAGGUCCAGCUCAAUCAAAACCAGGACAAAAAAACUAAGUAAAGGUUUUCAUCCCAUAGCAAUAACACUAAAAAUUGUAAAGAACGAACCACAGGAUUGAACUGUAGAAGAGUGUUUGUGAGCGAGUGUGUGUCUGCUGCAUUUGGGCUGGUCCAGUGUGCUGGGCCGGGCUCUGUUCACUUGAUGAUAAAACUCUGUUUUAAAUGGAAGGUCACAUGCUUCAGCCUUGUGGUGCAGUAGUCUAAAACCUGACUUUCUGCGUAUAACUCUGCACAGCGGCUGGGUUUAUGAGUGGAGCAGUAGCUUUAGGCCACCGACAGGUGGCGACGUUGGAUGCAGAAAAAGGCUGUUGAUGAUCACAACUCGACAAUGCCUUCAGUCAAAGCUUACAGUUUCACUGAUUUUACUCCAAGACUAGGUGAAAGCAACUGAGUACAAUUAAUCCUAAAUGUUCUUUUAGUAUAACACAAAGACAAAACCUGUAGCAGUUUAUAAUGAUGGGAUGCAUAUAUUUACCUUCAAAAUAUGAUUCACUUUGUAAUAUAAAUGCACAUAUGACAGGAUGCAGGUCUUUUAUGAUUAUACUCCACUCGAGCCCCAGUUAGUGGCGACACAAUCUGUCUUCAUCGCUGCCACAGUGAUGAAGACAGAUUUCUGUUUGUGAGGAGUGCAUUGCUUCAAGGGGAUAAUAAUAAAGUUGUGUGACAUCUCCUUGGUCA